UACGUAGGGUCCGAGCGUUGUCCGGAAUUAUUGGGCGUAAAGAGCUCGUAGGCGGUUUGUCGCGUCUGCUGUGAAAUCCCGAGGCUCAACCUCGGGCCUGCAGUGGGUACGGGCAGACUGGAGUGCGGUAGGGGAGACUGGAAUUCCUGGUGUAGCGGUGAAAUGCGCAGAUAUCAGGAGGAACACCGGUGGCGAAGGCGGGUCUCUGGGCCGAUACUGACGCUGAGGAGCGAAAGCGUGGGGAGCGAACAGG
rnacentral:rRNA from 1 species